GACGAACGCUGGCGGCGUGCCUAAUACAUGCAAGUCGAGCGCAGGAAACUGACGGAACUCUUCGGAGGGAAGGCAGUGGAAUGAGCGGCGGACGGGUGAGUAACACGUAAGGAACCUGCCUCAAGGAUUGGGAUAACUCCGAGAAAUCGGAGCUAAUACCGGAUAGUUCAUCGGACCGCAUGGUCCGUUGAUGAAAGGCGCUUCGGCGUCACCUUGAGAUGGCCUUGCGGUGCAUUAGCUAGUUGGUGGGGUAGCGGCCCACCAAGGCGACGAUGCAUAGCCGACCUGAGAGGGUGAUCGGCCACACUGGGACUGAGACACGGCCCAGACUCCUACGGGAGGCAGCAGUAGGGAAUCUUCCACAAUGGACGAGAGUCUGAUGGAGCAACGCCGCGUGAGUGAUGAAGGUUUUCGGAUCGUAAAACUCUGUUGUAAGGGAAGAACACGUACGAGAGGGAAUGCUCGUACCUUGACGGUACCUUACGAGAAAGCCACGGCUAACUACGUGCCAGCCGCCGCGGUAA
rnacentral:rRNA from 1 species